rnacentral:rRNA from 1 species
CCUACGGGAGGCAGCAGUGAGGAAUAUUGGUCAAUGGACGAGAGUCUGAACCAGCCAAGUCGCGUGAAGGAUGACUGCCCUAUGGGUUGUAAACCUCUUUUAUCUGGGAAUAAAAUGUUCCACGUGUGGGAUUUUGUAUGUACCAUAUGAAUAAGGAUCGGCUAACUCCGUGCCAGCAGCCGCGGUAAUACGGAGGCUCCGAGCGUUAUCCGGAUUUAUUGGGGUUAAAGGGAGCGUAGGUGGGUUGUUAAGUCAGUUGUUAAAGUUUGGGGCUUAACCGUAAAAUUGCAGUUGAAACUGGCAGUCGUGAGUAGAGGAGAGGUAGGCGGAAUGCGUGGUGUAGCGGUGAAAUGCAUAGAUAUCGCGAAGAACUCCGAUUGCGAAGGCAGUACACUGGACUGCAACUGACACUGAGGCACGAAAGUGUGGGUAUCGAACAGGAUUAGAUACCCUAGUAGUC